rnacentral:rRNA from 2 species
CAGUCGACGAACUCUGGUAUUGAUUGGUGCUUGCAUCAUGAUUUACAUUUGAGUGAGUGGCGAACUGGUGAGUAACACGUGGGAAACCUGCCCAGAAGCGGGGGAUAACACCUGGAAACAGAUGCUAAUACCGCAUAACAACUUGGACCGCAUGGUCCGAGCUUGAAAGAUGGCUUCGGCUAUCACUUUUGGAUGGUCCCGCGGCGUAUUAGCUAGAUGGUGGGGUAACGGCUCACCAUGGCAAUGAUACGUAGCCGACCUGAGAGGGUAAUCGGCCACAUUGGGACUGAGACACGGCCCAAACUCCUACGGGAGGCAGCAGUAGGGAAUCUUCCACAAUGGACGAAAGUCUGAUGGAGCAACGCCGCGUGAGUGAAGAAGGGUUUCGGCUCGUAAAACUCUGUUGUUAAAGAAGAACAUAUCUGAGAGUAACUGUUCAGGUAUUGACGGUAUUUAACCAGAAAGCCACGGCUAACUACGUGCCAGCAGCCGCGGUAAUACGUAGGUGGCAAGCGUUGUCCGGAUUUAUUGGGCGUAAAGCGAGCGCAGGCGGUUUUUUAAGUCUGAUGUGAAAGCCUUCGGCUCAACCGAAGAAGUGCAUCGGAAACUGGGAAACUUGAGUGCAGAAGAGGACAGUGGAACUCCAUGUGUAGCGGUGAAAUGCGUAGAUAUAUGGAAGAACACCAGUGGCGAAGGCGGCUGUCUGGUCUGUAACUGACGCUGAGGCUCGAAAGUAUGGGUAGCAAACAGGAUUAGAUACCCUGGUAGUCCAUACCGUAAACGAUGAAUGCUAAGUGUUGGAGGGUUUCCGCCCUUCAGUGCUGCAGCUAACGCAUUAAGCAUUCCGCCUGGGGAGUACGGCCGCAAGGCUGAAACUCAAAGGAAUUGACGGGGGCCCGCACAAGCGGUGGAGCAUGUGGUUUAAUUCGAAGCUACGCGAAGAACCUUACCAGGUCUUGACAUACUAUGCAAAUCUAAGAGAUUAGACGUUCCCUUCGGGGACAUGGAUACAGGUGGUGCAUGGUUGUCGUCAGCUCGUGUCGUGAGAUGUUGGGUUAAGUCCCGCAACGAGCGCAACCCUUAUUAUCAGUUGCCAGCAUUAAGUUGGGCACUCUGGUGAGACUGCCGGUGACAAACCGGAGGAAGGUGGGGAUGACGUCAAAUCAUCAUGCCCCUUAUGACCUGGGCUACACACGUGCUACAAUGGAUGGUACAACGAGUUGCGAACUCGCGAGAGUAAGCUAAUCUCUUAAAGCCAUUCUCAGUUCGGAUUGUAGGCUGCAACUCGCCUACAUGAAGUCGGAAUCGCUAGUAAUCGCGGAUCAGCAUGCCGCGGUGAAUACGUUCCCGGGCCUUGUACACACCGCCCGUCACACCAUGAGAGUUUGUAACACCCAAAG